rnacentral:rRNA from 1 species
UAAUACGUAGGUGGCAAGCGUUGUCCGGAUUUAUUGGGCGUAAAGGGCGCGCAGGCGGUUCGUUAAGUCCGAGGUGAAAUCUCCCGGCUCAACUGGGAGAGGUCUUCGGAUACUGGCGGACUGGAGGUGAGCAGAGGUGAGUGGAAUUCUCGGUGUAGUGGUGAAAUGCGUAGAUAUCGAGAGGAACACCAGUGGCGAAGGCGGCUCACUGGGCUCUACCUGACGCUGAGGCGCGAAAGCGUGGGGAGCGAACCGGAUUAGAUACCCGGGUAGUCCACGCUGUAAACGAUGGACACUAGGUGUGGGGGGUAUUGACCCCUUCCGUGCCGAAGCCAACGCAAUAAGUGUCCCGCCUGGGGAGUACGGCCGCAAGGCUA